GCGGAGCUCUCUUUCACUCUCUCUCUCUCCAUUGCUCACACACUCUCCCUCUCUUUAACGCUCACGUACACCUCCCUCUUCAAUUCCUCUGAUGCUUCCCUUCUUAAUCUACCACUCUGUGCAAGAGGAGCAAAAGGUAAAUAUCAGUAAAUAACUUGCUUUCUUGUAUCCUUCUGUACAUCAUUUCCCCAUUCACUGCUUUAGUAUUCUGCUUUAAACAAAGCUCACCCUCCCCGUCAACAAAGAUUACAGAGGAAUGAACUGACAGUCAUUUAAGGAAUAGCCGGAGCAGCUCUAAAUCAAAGUCAGCGCUCCCUCCUCACAUUGCAUUGAUUUCGUUUCCUUUUCCUGUAUUUAAUUUCUCAGUAUCUCAUAGUCUUGCUGUGAGUCCAUCUGUAGAGGAUUGCUGGGCUGCACAGGGAUACCGUCAUCACCACAGCCAAUCACGCAAUCACUCUCACACACACACACGUACACACACACACCAGGAAACCAGUAGAAAUUUAAAAAAAAAACUAAAACAUGCAUGAGGGAAAAAAACUGCCUCUUCUUCCUCCCCCCUCCCUCUUUACUCCCCUCUCCCUCUCUUGUGUUUAGGCGCUGCAGCAGACAGGAUUGGUACCCUUGCAAGGAUGUUGGUGCAGUGUGCCUGUGUAUGUCAGAGAGAGGCUGUGAGCAGUCGGUGGUUAUUCCAUACUGUUGGCUCAUCAGUUACUGAGAAGUGUGAUCCAAUACCAUCACCAAAGCUCUGUCUGCUUCAUUGACUUCUUCUUCUUCUGGUAUCCCACCCUUCUUUCCCCCCUCUGACCUGCACACAACAAAAGACCAAGGGCUGGUUAUAAACAGUUGUGUUACAGUAAAAAUAGCUUCUACGCUCAUGAAGAAUGUAUGUCUGGAUAUGUGCGCAGUGAAAAAGAGGUGAAUAGAGAAAGAGGUGCUGAUGGAGUCGGCACCUGUUUACUGGUAUUGCUUUGCCUCUCUCUCCCCCCUCUCCUCUACCCUACCCCCCUCUCCUCCCUGCGAUGCUGCUGACGCAGGCAAAAAAUAUCCUCUAACAUCUCUCUUUGCCCGACUCACUAUACAUCACAC